UUGCCUCAGUAACGGCGAGUGAAGCGGCAACAGCUCAAAUUUGAAAUCUGGCUUCGGUCCGAGUUGUAAUUUGUAGAGGAUGCUUCGGCUUACGUACCGGUCUAAGUUCCUUGGAACAGGACGUCACAGAGGGUGAGAAUCCCGUUUGUGGCCGGCACUUCCGCCAUGUGAAGCUCCUUCGACGAGUCGAGUUGUUUGGGAAUGCAGCUCUAAAUGGGAGGUAAAUUUCUUCUAAAGCUAAAUACCGGCCAGAGACCGAUAGCGCACAAGUAGAGUGAUCGAAAGAUGAAAAGCACUUUGGAAAGAGAGUUAAAAAGUACGUGAAAUUGUUGAAAGGGAAGCGCUUGCGACCAGACUUGCCUGCGGAUGCUCAACCGGUCCUUCGGCCGGUGCACUCUUCCGCGGUCAGGCCAGCAUCAGUUCGGGCGGUCGGAUAAAGGCCUUGGGAAUGUGGCUCUCUUCGGGGAGUGUUAUAGCCCUUGGUGCAAUACGGCCCGCCUGGACUGAGGCCCGCGCUUCGGCUAGGAUGCUGGCGUAAUGGUCGUAAGCGGCCCGUCUUGAAACACGGACCAAGGAGUCUAACAUCUAUGCGAGUGUUUGGGUGUCAAACCCGUGCGCGAAAUGAAAGUGAACGGAGGUGGGAACCUUAGGGUGCACCAUCGACCGAUCCUGAUGUCUUCGGAUGGAUUUGAGUAAGAGCAUAGCUGUUGGGACCCGAAAGAUGGUGAACUAUGCCUGAAUAGGGUGAAGCCAGAGGAAACUCUGGUGGAGGCUCGCAGCGGUUCUGACGUGCAA
rnacentral:rRNA from 1 species